rnacentral:rRNA from 1 species
CGCCUUGCCAGCCCGCUCAGAACUUAAAGGAAUUGACGGGACCCCGCACAAGCGGUGGAUCAUGUUGUUUUAAUUCGAUGAUACGCGAAGAACCUUACCAGGUCUUGACAUCCCCCGCGAUGCUUUAGAGAUAAAGCGGAGGUAUUCGGGGAGACAGGUGGUGCAUGGUUGUCGUCAGCUCGUGUCGUGAGAUGUUGGGUUAAGUCCCGCAACGAGCGCAACCCCUAUUGCUAGUUACCAUCAUUAAGUUGGGGACUCUAGCGAGACUGCCAGUGAUAAACUGGAGGAAGGUGGGGAUGACGUCAAAUCAUCAUGCCCCUUAUGACCUGGGCUACAAACGUGAUACAAUGGCUGGAACAAAGGGAUGCGAAGCAGUGAUGUGGAGCGAAACCCAUAAAACAGUCUCAGUUCGGAUUGAAGUCUGCAACUCGACUUCAUGAAGUCGGAAUCGCUAGUAAUCGCGGAUCAGAACGCCGCGGUGAAUACGUUCUCGGGGUUU